rnacentral:rRNA from 1 species
GAUGAACGCUGGCGGCGUGCCUAAUACAUGCAAGUCGAGCGAACAGACGAGGAGCUUGCUCCUCUGACGUUAGCGGCGGACGGGUGAGUAACACGUGGAUAACCUACCUAUCAGACUGGGAUAACUUCGGGAAACCGGAGCUAAUACCGGAUAAUAUAUUGAACCGCAUGGUUCAAUAGUGAAAGACGGUUUUGCUGUCACUUAUAGCUGGAUCCGCGCCGCAUUAGCUAGUUGGUAAGGUAACGGCUUACCAAGGCGACGAUGCGUAGCCGACCUGAGAGGGUGGUAGGCCACACUGGAACUGAGACACGGUCCAGACUCCUACGGGAGGCAGCAGUAGGGAAUCUUCCGCAAUGGGCGAAAGCCUGACGGAGCAACGCCGCGUGAGUGAUGAAGGUCUUCGGAUCGUAAAACUCUGUUAUGAGGGAAGAACAAAUGUGUAAGUAACUAUGCACGUCUUGACGGUACCUAAUCAGAAAGCCACGGCUAACUACGUG